rnacentral:tRNA from 1 species
AGGGAUAUAGCUCAAUGGUAGAGCAUGCAAAAGGUUCCAGUUUCAAUCCCUGGCAUCUCCA